rnacentral:sRNA from 2 species
UGAAAGACGCGCAUUUGUUAUCAUCAUCCCUGUUAUUCAGAGAUGAAUAUUUGGCCACAAGUAUGUGGCCAUUUUC